rnacentral:rRNA from 1 species
AACGAACGCUGGCGGCAGGCCUAACACAUGCAAGUCGAGCGAGGACUUCGGUCCUAGCGGCGGACGGGUGAGUAACGCGUGGGAACGUGCCCUUUGCUUCGGAAUAGCCCUGGGAAACUGGGAGUAAUACCGGAUGAGCCCUUUGGGGGAAAGAUUUAUCGGCGAAGGAUCGGCCCGCGUUGGAUUAGGUAGUUGGGAGGGUAAUGGCCUACCAAGCCGAGGAUCCAUAGCUGGUUUGAGAGGAUGAUCAGCCACACUGGGACUGAGACACGGCCCAGACUGUGACGGGAGGCAGAAGUGGGGAAUACUCCGCAAUGGGCGAAAGCCGGACGGAGCAAAGCCGCGUGAGUGAUGAAGGUCUUCGGAUGGUAAAACUAUGUGAUUAGGGAAGAAGAAAUGUGUAAGUAACUAUGCACGUCUUGACGGUACCUAAUCAGAAAGCCACGGCUAACUACGUG